ACGGAAGGCAGCAGUGAGGAAUAUUGGUCAAUGGGCGAGAGCCUGAACCAGCCAAGUCGCGUGAGGGAAGACGGCCCUAUGGGUUGUAAACCUCUUUUGCGCGGGAAUAAGAGCCCCAUGCGUGGGGUGUUGCAUGUACCGUGCGAAUAAGGAUCGGCUAACUCCGUGCCAGCAGCCGCGGUAAUACGGAGGAUCCGAGUGUUAUCCGGAUUUAUUGGGUUUAAAGGGUGCGUAGGCGGGACGUCAAGUCAGUGGUGAAAUGGUGCGGCUCAACCGUAGCAUUGCCGUUGAAACUGGGGUUCUUGAGUGCGAAUGAGGUGGGCGGAAUGUGUCAUGUAGCGGUGAAAUGCAUAGAUAUGACACAGAACACCGAUUGCGAAGGCAGCUCACUGGGACGCAACUGACGCUGAGGCACGAAAGUGCGGGGACCGAACAGGAUUAGAUACCCUGGUA
rnacentral:rRNA from 1 species